rnacentral:rRNA from 1 species
GACGAACGCUGGCGGCGUGCUUAACACAUGCAAGUCGAACGGAAAGGCCCUGCUUUUGCGGGGUGCUCGAGUGGCGAACGGGUGAGUAACACGUGAGUAACCUGCCCUUGACUUUGGGAUAACUUCAGGAAACUGGGGCUAAUACCGGAUAGGAGCUCCUGCUGCAUGGGGGGGGUUGGAAAGUUUCGGCGGUUGGGGAUGGACUCGCGGCUUAUCAGCUUGUUGGUGGGGUAGUGGCUUACCAAGGCUUUGACGGGUAGCCGGCCUGAGAGGGUGACCGGCCACCUUGGGACUGCGAUACGGCCCAGUCUCGUACGGGAGGCAGCAGUGGGGAGUCUUGCACAGUGGGCGGGAGCCUGAUGCAGCAGCGCCGCGUGCGUGAUGACGUCCUUCGGGUUGUAAACCGCUUUCGCCUGUGACGAAGCGUGAGUGACGGUAAUGGGUAAAGAAGCACCGGCUAACUACGUG